GUGAGGAAUUUUCCGCAAUGGGCGAAAGCCUGACGGAGCAAUGCCGCGUGAAGGAUGAAGGCCUAUGGGUUGUAAACUUCUUUUCUUAGAGAAGAAUAUUGACGGUAUCUGAGGAAUAAGCAUCGGCUAACUCUGUGCCAGCAGCCGCGGUAAGACAGAGGAUGCAAGCGUUAUCCGGAAUGAUUGGGCGUAAAGCGUCUGUAGGUGGCUUCAAAAGUCUCCUGUCAAAGGUCAGGGCUUAACCCGGGGCCGGCAGGAGAAACUGUGAGGCUAGAGUUUGGUAGGGGCAGAGGGAAGUCCCGGGGGAGCGGUGAAAUGCGUAGAGAUCGGGAGGAACACCAAAGGCGAAAGCACUCUGCUGGGCCACAACUGACACUGAGAGACGAAAGCGAGGGGAGCAAAAGGGAUUAGAAACCCCGGUAGUCC
rnacentral:rRNA from 1 species